rnacentral:rRNA from 1 species
AUUGAACGCUGGCGGCAUGCCUUACACAUGCAAGUCGAACGGCAGCACGGGAGCAAUCCUGGUGGCGAGUGGCGAACGGGUGAGUAAUAUAUCGGAACGUGCCCAGUCGUGGGGGAUAACUACUCGAAAGAGUGGCUAAUACCGCAUACGCACUGAGGUGGAAAGCAGGGGAUCGCAAGACCUUGCGCUAUACGAGCGGCCGAUGUCAGAUUAGCUAGUUGGUAGGGUAAAGGCCUACCAAGGCGACGAUCUGUAGCGGGUCUGAGAGGAUGAUCCGCCACACUGGGACUGAGACACGGCCCAGACUCCUACGGGAGGCAGCAGUGGGGAAUAUUGGGACAAUGGGCGAAAGCCUGAUCCAGCAAUGCCGCGUGAGUGAUGAAGGCCUUAGGGUUGUAAAGCUCUUUUACCCGAGAUGAUAAUGACAGUAUCGGGAGAAUAAGCUCCGGCUAACUCCGUGCCAGCAGCCG